AUUGAACGCUGGCGGCAUGCUUUACACAUGCAAGUCGAACGGUAACAGGCCGCAAGGUGCUGACGAGUGGCGAACGGGUGAGUAAUGCAUCGGAACGUGCCCAGUCGUGGGGGAUAACUACUCGAAAGAGUAGCUAAUACCGCAUACGAUCUAUGGAUGAAAGCGGGGGACGGUAAGGCCUCGUGCGAUUGGAGCGGCCGAUGUCAGAUUAGGUAGUUGGUGGGGUAAAGGCUCACCAAGCCAACGAUCUGUAGCUGGUCUGAGAGAACGACCAGCCACACUGGAACUGAGACACGGCCCAGACUCCUACGGGAGGCAGCAGUGGGGAAUUUUGGACAAUGGGCGCAAGCCUGAUCCAGCAAUGCCGCGUGCAGGAAGAAGGCCUUCGGGUUGUAAACUGCUUUUGUACGGAACGAAACGGCUCUGGUUAAUACCCGGGGCUAAUGACGGUACUGUAAGAAUAAGCACCGGCUAACUACGUG
rnacentral:rRNA from 1 species